GUUAAAUUGUUCAUCAGGUAAAGAUCUAUCUACCCUGAAAUUUUCAGUUGAAUCGGACAACCCAUUGUUGGGUUGCUGCCCCUGAAUUGGUAAUUAUAAGGAAAUUUUGCUGUUUUUGGUUAUUAUCUUGAAUAUUAUUAUAGAUAGAGAUAAACUGUAAACAGCAAUAAUGUUCAGCAAAGUAAGAUUUAUGAAUAAGUCAACAUGACUGAAAUGGUCAGUUGACCCAUUUAGGAGUUAUUGCCCUUUAUAGUCAAUUUUUAACCAUUUUUCGUAAAUCUUAGUAAUGUUUUACAAAAAUCUUCUCCUCUGAAACUACUGGGCCAAGUUAAUUAUAGAUAGAGAUAAUUGUAAGCAGCUAGAAUAUUCAGUAAAUUAAGAUGUACGAACACAUCACCAUCACCAAAACACAAUUUUGUCAUGAAUCAAUCCGCGUCCUUUGUUUAAUAUUCACAUAGACCAAGGUGAGCGACACAGGCUCUUUAGAGCCUCUAGUUUUAUUUA
rnacentral:lncRNA from 1 species